UCGCAUCUUCCCUUGCCGCCGCUGGAGGCAGACGCCGGCAAGCCCACGCGGUCGUCGAUGAGGGCGGCGGCGAGGUCUUCGGCCACGAUUCUUUCUCGGGAACGGGCCUAGGGUUCCAGGCGGCGACCUGGUGGUGUGGGCGGCGCCGUCCCGGCGGCGUUGGCUGGAGCUAUGGCCGCCUCCCCUCGGCUGCAUGGGUGGCGAGUCGGUGGUGGACCUGUGUGUCGGGCGGCAGGACCCCUGUGACCUGCUUCGCCAGAUCUAAAGAUGGCGCCCGUUCGCUUGCAUCAGCGUCUUCCUCGUCUGGUCCGGCCGGAUCCGGACGGAUCCGGCUGUUGGCUGCGUGGAUUUGGUGUGGGGAGGUCUGAAUCUGGGGUAACCCCUUGGCCGGCGGCGGCGGCCACCUCGUCGGUGGCGCUUCGGGCGAUGUUCCCCUUCUUGAAGGCAACAUUGAGGUUCACCUCCCCCUCCUCCUCCUUCCCCUGCACCCGGGUGAAAGCCCAAAUGGCGGCGCCAUGAUGGUGCCGUUACCUUCUUGAAGGUGCCGUUUUGGGUCUGUGGGGAGGCGGGUCGGUUGCUGCGUGCUCAGGUGCUCUUGGUGGCGGCAGCUACUUCUUCAAGCGGUAACACUUCACCAUGGAUGACCGGUCCGCUCCUCCGGCCACCGUGCUCUCCUCCGUGUGGUCCUGUCAGUCCGGCGGAUCGACGCCCUCGGCCUGGGCAAGAGGGGAUAGUGGUCCCCUCUACGUCGAUUAGGAUGUGAUGGUAGGUGAGAUGGUGGCCAUGGCGUGCUCUGUUUCCUCCUGGUGGCUUUGGUGUUCCAAUCAUGGCCGUGUCUUCUUGGGAUCCCCUGUUCUAUAGCUAGCGUGUGUGGCAUGCUUCAAUUGUGGGCAGCAGCUUCUCAAGCUGUAGUCUUUUUCUUCAUUGGUCGUAGCGUUUUUGCUUUCUUUCAGCUCCUUGUAUCAGCCGUUGCGGGGUUGCAUCCCUGCUUUAUUUUAUGUCCUGGUUGUAUGGUUUGUAUCGAUGUAUCUUGGCUGGUUGAUGGCUUUGUUAAUUUAAAGUUGGGUUAUGCUCGAGCACUACUCGGGCUCGGUUGUGCCUUUUCUCUAAAAGAACAAUGCACCAGGGCCACACUCAGCUGACCCGCCACGGCCUGCUGUGGAGCGGAGGACGCGCGGGACGUGCAGAUGCGAGUGGGGUUCGCCCCGCAACUUCUGCCGAGUGGCCAGGGCCGACGUGGGCACAACAGCAUCCUCCGCGAGGUGCUCUGAUUCUUGGGCGAUGGCUCCUGAGCGGGGGAAGCUGGAGUCAGGGCGGCCGGCCGCCAGAAGACUUCCUCGCUGUGCCUGUGAGGAAUGUACACACCGUCGCUUGCCCUGCUAAUUGUCUUCUGGAGAAGAUCAAUUAAGAGAUAAAAUCCUCAAACAAAAUCCUUAGUGACAGAACACCAACUCUACACUGCCUCUGUCCAUGCAUCAUAAGUUCAUAACAUGCCAGUGACAUUAGAGUUGGGGUGAAGGGCACAAUGACAGUGGUUUCAUGAUAUCUCGGUGAUUGUGGCAAGGCCAAAGAUGCAGGAGGAAGAUGGACACGCGAAUUUUCUCUUAAAAAAGAUGGACAGCGGGAGGAGGAAGGGGAUGGUGAAGAAAAGGGCAGUCGGCCACAUGAAAUUUCUGAGCGGUAGAUCAAGGACGCAGCGGUGGAUCCACGGGAAUCGGCGACCUGCGGCAAGGCGCACGGGGCGGCAAAAGGGGGUGAGAUUGGAGGCCGGGUGUUGCCUCCAGUAACGUAAGCGACGCAGAGAGAUGCAUAUUGGGGAAUCGAGAGAGAUUUAGCCUCAGGAUAUGUAUGUAUGUAUAUAUAUAUAUAUAUAUGUAUAUAUAUAUAUAUAGAGAGAGACGGGGGAGUAAAUAAUUUGUGGAAGUGGUAGUCGUCAGUUACGGCAGAAUAGGAAGCAGCGCAUGCUUCGGUGCCCGUGGGAGGGUAUGCAUGCAGUAUGUGAGAAUAAAUUAGACGAAUGCUGAUGGCUGAACCAUAUUGCAUCAACCGGUAACGGAAGGCAUGAUGUGGCACGCAUGUAUGUUUUAUACUGUAGUGGGUCCCUCACGUAAGCCUCUAACAAAACGCUGAUGUGGCGGUGCUGCUGAUGUGGAUAGGCUGCAUGUCAAGAGAAAUAAGGUAGUGGGGAUGAACUAUUUAGGUCUAAUAGAUUCAUGCCAUGUUUGCAAUAAUUUUAUAUGGUUUAGGUAUGAUUUGCAUGGAACUAACCCGGACUGACGCUGUUUUCAGCAGAACUACCGUGGUGUUGUUUUUUAUGCAGAAAUGAAAGUUCUUCAAACACCGCAAAACUUNNNNNNNNNNNNNNNNNNNNNNNNNNNNNNNNNNNNNNNNNNNNNNNNNNNNNNNNNNNNNNNNNNNNNNNNNNNNNNNNNNNNNNNNNNNNNNNNNNNNNNNNNNNNNNNNNNNNNNNNNNNNNNNNNNNNNNNNNNNNNNNNNNNNNNNNNNNNNNNNNNNNNNNNNNNNNNNNNNNNNNNNNNNNNNNNNNNNNNNNNNNNNNNNNNNNNNNNNNNNNNNNNNNNNNNNNNNNNNNNNNNNNNNNNNNNNNNNNNNNNNNNNNNNNNNNNNNNNNNNNNNNNNNNNNNNNNNNNNNNNNNNNNNNNNNNNNNNNNNNNNCCCACCAGGGCGCGCCUAGGCCCCCAGGCAUGCCCUGGUGGGUUGUGCCCACCUCGGUGGCCUCCCCUACCCCUUCUUCGCCCUAUAAAUUCCCAAAUAUUCCGAAAACCCUCUGGGAGAUUCUAGAUCGGAAGUUCCGCCGCCACAAGCCUCUGUAGCCACCGAAAACCAAUCGGGACCCUGUUCCGGCACCCUGCUGGAGGGGGAAUCAUCUCCGGUGGCCAUCUUCAUCAUCCCAGCGGCCACCACGAUGAGGAGGGAGUAGUCCACCCUCGGGGGUGAGGGUUUGUACCAGUAGCUAUGUGUUUAAUAUCCCUCUCUUGCACGAUCUUGAGAUGUCAUGAUCUUGAUGUAUCAUGGGCUUUGUUAACAUAGAUGGAUCAUAUGGUGUUUCUCUCCUCUCUACUCUUGUUGUGAUGAAUUGAGUCUUUACCCUUUGAAGUUUUGUCUUGUCGGAUUGAAUGUUUAGAUCUGAGAACACAUGAUAUAUGUCUUGCAUAUGAAUACCCGUGAUGACAAUGUGGUAUUAUUUUGAUUCACUUGAUAUAUGUUAUGGCACUCAACUUGCGGAUUCCCGAGGUGACUUUGGGGUAAUCUAUGCAUAGGGGUUGAUGCACAUUUUUAUUAUCUUUUCUCCGAUAGAAAAGUUGGGGUCUCCUUGUAGUUCUUUGUGUGUAUUAUGAAUCUGAAAUUGUUUGAUACAUAUCGUAUAAUUAACUCACGGGUGCUCGCGGUAACAUUGGGGUAUCUAGGUGACAUUAGAGUUGGUUGAUAUACAUCAUAUGGUGUUAUUUUAGUACGAACUCUUCAUUAGAUCAAUUAGAAAGAAUAGCUUAUUGUUAUAUUAGUACGAACUCUAUGAUAGAUUGAUCGGAAAGAAUAGCUUUGAGGUGGUUUUGUACCCUAGAACAAUUUCUAUCUUUUGUUCUCCGCUAAUAGGAACUCGGGAGUGAUUCUUUAUUGCACUUUGAGGGAUAAUAAUAUGAUCCAACUAUGUUAGCAUUGUUGAGAGAUUGCACUAGUGAAAGUAUGCACCCUAGGCCUCAUUUUCCAUUAUUGCAAUACCGUUUGUGCUCCGUUUCACUAUUUACUACCUUGCUAUUUUUAUUGUUUGCACUACAAAAACUCAUAUCUAUUAUCCAUACUACACUUUUAUCACCAUCUCUUCACCGAACUAGUGCACCUAUACAAUUUGCCAUUGUAUUGGGUGUGUUGGGGACACAAGAGAUUUCUUGAAUUUUAUUGCAGGGUUGCUUGAGAGAGACUAUCUUCAUCAUAUGCCUCCCACAGAUUGAUAAACCUUAGGUCAUCCACUUGAGGGAAAAUUGUUGUUGUCCUACAAAACUCUGCGCUUGGAGGCCCAACACGUGUCUACAAGAAUAAAGUUGCGUAGUAGACAUCAAGCUCUUUUCUGGCGCCGUUGCUGGGGAGGUGAGUGCAUGAAGGUAUAUCUUUAGAUCUUGCAAUUGAAUCUUUUAGUUUCUUGUUUUAUCACUAGUUUGGUUUAUAAAAAGAAAACUUCAAAAAAUGGAAUUUAGGUUCCAUCAUAUUAUUCAUCUUUAUAAUGUCUGUCCUGAAAAUGAUGAAAAAAAAUUGUGCUCAACUGAUAGAAUAAGAAUUCAAUAAAAUGUUUGGCAUAAAUGAUGAGCAUGAUUGCAAUAUUGUUGGUAUGAAUUCUUUGAAUAUCCAUGAUGCUAGUGAUAUGCAAAGCAAUAAGCUUGGGAAUGUUAUGUUUGAUGAAGAUGAUAUUUUUAUUCCCCCAAGUUUUGAUGUGCAAAUUUGUUACAAUGGUAGCAUGCCUCCUAUUUAUGAUGAUUACAAUGAUGAAAGUGGAUUUGGAGAGGUCAUGACUUUAUUUAGUGAUGAAUCCACUAUUUCAGAAGAGAUAUCAAUUGAUUAUGGGAACAAAUUUGCUAUCUAUGAUGAUUAUGGUGAUGACAUGUAUGCUAUAAAGAAUAAUGAUAACCAUGAAACUUGUCAUCAUGAUUUUAAUUUUCAAUCACAUGAUGUUAUUUUAUUGAGUUUGCUCCCACUACUAUGAAUGAGAAUAAGUUUGCUUGUGUGGAGAGUAAUAAAUUUUCUAUGCUUGUGGAUCAUGAAAAGAAUGCUUUAUGUGAUAGUUAUAUUGUUGAAUUCAUUCAUGAUGCUACCGAAAAUUAUUAUGAGAUAGGAACAUAUGCUUCUACAUAUCUCAAUAAUAUCAAGUUUCCUCUCUUUAUGUUGAAAGCUUUUAUGUUGCACUUGUUUUACUUUCCUAUGCUAGUUGAUUCUUAUUCCCAUAAGUUGUUUGCUCACAAAAUCCCUAUGCGUAGGAAGUGGGUUAGACUUAAAUUUUCUUGCCAUGUGAUUCAUGAUGCUCUUGUUAUCUUUCAGUUCUUAUCUUUUAUGUGAGCAUCAUUGAACUCAUCCUGCCUAGCUAAAAAGGCAUUAAAGAAAAGCGCUUGUUGGGACACAACCCAACACUUUUAUCUACUGUCUUUGUGUGUUCACAUGAUUAUGCUACAGUGGUAAUCAUGUUUUAUUGCUUUUGUUUCAAUAAAGUGCCAAGUAAAGCCUUUGAGAUCAUGUUGGGUGAUAGUUGAUUUGAUCUUGCUGAAAAAUAGAAACUUUUGCGCUCACGAAAAUAACUCUCACUUUUAACAUAAGAGUGAUUUUGAGUUCAUUAAUUUUGAAGAAGAUUAAUAUACAAAUUUCUCAUGUGGUCCAUUUUUUUCAUAAUUUUUGGAGUAGCAGAAGUAUGGUUUGAGUACAGAUUACUACAGACUGUUCUGUUUUUUAUAGAUUCUGUUUUCAAUGCAUAGUUUGCUUGUUUCCUAGUUUCUAUGGCUUAUACUGCUCAAUAUAAAUUUUAGAAAUGAUAUGAUACAUUAGGUAUUGUGUGGAAACAAUUAUGAAUCUUUUCUUUGGCAGUACAAAAAGUCAAAUGGUUUGCUCUUUAUCAUACUAACCUAUCUCACAAGGUUCCAUUAAGUUUUGUGUGAUUGAAGUUUUCAAGUUUUGGGUGAGAUGUCAAUAUGAGGAGAAUAAGGAGUGACAAGACCCUAAGCUUUGGGAUGCCCAAGGCACCCCAAGGUAACAUUCAAGGAAGAUCCAAGCAACUAAGCUUGGGGAUGCCUCGUAAGGCAUCCCCUCUUUCGUCUCCAACAUUAUCGGUAACCUCACUUGGAGCUAUGUUUUCAUUCGUCACAUGAUAUGUGUUUUGCUUGGAGCAUCAAUUUAUUUUGUUAGGAUUUGCUUGCUGUUAUUUAUAAUAACGUUUUGAAUCUUUUAUUUCAAUAAAAGUGCCAAUGAUAGCCUUUGCCAUGCUUAUUUUGCAAGUAUACAUGUUGCUGUUUCAAAACAGAAAGUUUAUCGCUGUUGCAAAAAUCCCCUAGAAAAUUCAGAAUGUGAUAAAGUGCUGAAACGUUUUGAAAAAUAAGCUCUGAUAAAUUUUCUAAAGUGUGGUAAUUUUUUCAGAAUUUUUUGGGUUAGGGAAGUAUGAUGAAUAUUGCAUUCUUUACAAACUGUACUGUUUUGGCAGAUUGCUGUUAUGUUUGCAUUAUUUGCAUAUGUUUGCUUGUUUAAUGAUUCUAUUUGAGGAUAGGAGUGCAGAGGCAUUUAGUAUGAAAUAUUGAAUAAUAAUUUUAGUAAUUUGCUUCCGUAGAGAAUGAUAAGGUUUUGCACUGAUUUAUACUAAUUUAUCUCACGAGUUCUUGUUGAGUUUUGUGUGGAUGAAGUUUUUGAGAUUUAGGGAAACCGUGAUAUGAGUGGAAUUAAGGAGACACAAAAGAUCAAGCUUGGGGAUGCCCAAGGCAUCCCAAAUUUAUAUUUCAAUAAGACUCAAGCAUCUAAGCUUGGGGACGCCCCGGUAGGCAUCCCACCUAUCUUCUUCAACAAUUAUCGGUUAGUAUCGGUUGAGCCUAAGUUUUUGCUUCUUCACAUGAUGUGUGCUAUUCUUGGAUGUCAUUUUGUUUUGUUUUGCUUGCUGUUUUAAUAAAAUACUUAGAUCUGAAAGUUUUAAAUAAAAGAGAUUCCUCAAUUAGCUACCCAUUUACAUAACUACUCGUUUGAUCUUCACUUAUACUUUUUGGAGUAUCUUGUCAUUUACUCUUGCGCUUCACUUAUAUCCUAUGAGUGAAGUGUUGAAUGAAUUGGAUAUCAUGAAGUUGAAAUUACAUGUUCAUAUCAUGCCUAUUCACAUUGGGUUUAGAAAGUGAAAGCUUUUGAAGCUUGACAAUCACAAUAUUGGUCAUAUAAGCAAUUCACGAAUAAUUAGUAUAAGGAAGAGAACUUUCACAUGCAAAUACACUAUCUUGGAAAUCUUUUGUGAUUGUGAGCCCCCAUCAAAAUAUUAUAUGUCAAAAUUGUUGACAUUGGACAAGGAAGACAACGUAAUGAUUUAUGUUUGCUCAUAUUCACAUAGAAGUUAUAUUGUCAUAGAUCCUUCAACAUGUGGUGCUUGCCCCCUAUCUUUGCUAUCCAAAAAUUCCGCAACAAGUAGAGAUACUACCUGUGCAUCCAAAAACCCUUAAACCCAAAUCUUAUUUCGAGAGUCCACCAUACCUACCUAAGGAUUGAGAAAGAUCCUUCAAGUAAGUUGUCAUCGGUGCAAUAAGGCAAUAAAAAUUGCUUCUAAAAGUGUUAGAUCAUUUAGUGUAAGAUAAAAUUGAGCAUUGUACGAACUUAUGAUGGCAAAGAAUAAAAGCGACAGACUGCAUAAUAAAGGUUGCUAUCAUAAGGGGCAAUAUAAUGUGAUGUUCUUUCGCACUACGGGGUUGAGCAUAUAAAUAAAUAAGUACCAUGGCAACCUCUGCUUCCCUCUGCGAAGGGUCUAUCUUUUACUUUUAUGUAUUUACUUUCAUGCAAGUGUCAAAGUUUUUCUCUUUAUUCCUUUUCAUUUUUCUCCUUUGGCAAGCAUCGUGUGGUGAGGAAAGAUAUAGGCACAUAUAUCCAGUUGGAUAUGGGUAGCAUGAGUUAUUAUUGUUGACAUCACCCUUGAGGUGAUUACAUUGGGAGGCGAAAUUAUAAGCCCCUAUCUUUCUAUUUGUCCAGUUGAAAUGUUUUGCUCAUGUGUACGCGGUGAGUGUUAGCAAUCAUAGAAGACUAUAUGAUAGUUGAGUAUGUGGAGCUCUUACUUAGACUCUGUUGAAUAAGUUGAAUUGCAAUUGCUUGGUGACUGAGAACAUAGGUUGUUGAGUUUCAAGAGAACUCAUUAUUUGAACUUUAACAUGUGAAUUGGUUGCUACUAUAACAUGAGAAGUUUUAUAAGAAAAAAAAUUGCUGUUAUGAUGCUAGGAAAAGUGAUUGAAAUUGUCAUUGAUCAAACUUGUGCACUUUGCUAGCAUUCACACAUCAUAAUUUUUUCUUUUAUCAUUUACCUACUCGAGGACGAGUAGGAAUUAAGCUUGGGGAUGCUGAUACGUCUCCAAUGUAUCUAUAAUUUAUGAACUAUUCAUGCCAUGUUUACAAUAAUUUUAUAUGGUUUUGGUAUGAUUUGCACGGAACUAACCCGGACUGACGUUGUUUUCAGCAGAACUACCAUAUUGUUGUUUUUUGUGCAGAAAUGAAAGUUCUCCAAAUACCACGAAACUUUUUGUGGAUUUUUUAUGGACUAGAAGAGAACCAUUGUCCCCGAGGGGGAACAACCAGGCGCGCGCCCUGGUGGGUUUUGCCCACCUCGGUGGCCUCAAAUACCCCUUCUUCGGCCUAUGAAUUCCCAAAUAUUCUGAAAACCCUCGGGGAGACCCUAGAUCGGAAGUUCCACCGCCGCAAGCCUCUGUAGCCACCGAAAACCAAUCGAGACCCUGUUCCGUCACCCUUCCGGAGGGGGAAUCAUCUCCGGUGGCCAUCUUCAUCAUCCGAGCAGCCACCACAUGAUGAGGAGGGAGUAGUCCAUCCUCGGGGGUGAGGGUCUGUACCAGUAGCUAUGUGUUUAAUCCCUCUACCUCUCGCGAUUUUCAGAUGUCAUGAUCUUGAUGUAUCAUGGGCUUUGUUGAUAUAGAUGGUUCAUAUGGUGUUUCUCCCCUCUCUACUCUUGUUGUGAUGAAUUGAGUCUUUACCCUUUGAUGUUUUGUCUUGUCAGAUUGAAUGUUCAGAUCUGAGAACACAUGAUAUAUGUCUUGCAUAUGAAUACUCGUGGUGACAAUGGGGUAUUAUUUUGAUUCACUUGAUAUAUGUUAUGCCACUCAACUUGCGGAUUCGCGAGGUGACUGCUACAUCAUGAGCUUGUGUUGGUUUUCCUUGAAGAGGAAAGGGUGAUGCAGCACAGUAGCAUAAGUAUUUCCCUCAGUUUUUGAGAACCAAGGUAUCAAUCCAAUAGGAGGCUCCUCAAACGUCCCAGAAACCUACACAAACAAACAAAGAACUCGCAACCAACACGAUAAAGGGGUUGUCAAUCCCUUCACAGCCACUUGCGAAAGUGAGAUCUGAUAGAGAUAGUAUGAUAAUAUAAAUAUAUAUUUGGUAUUUUAUAAUAUAGAUGCAGAAAAUAAAGAUGCGAAUAAAAGUAGAUUAAAAACUUAUAUGAUAAAGGAUAGACCCAGGGGCCAUAGGUUUCACUAGAGGCUUCUCUCAAGAUAGCAUAAGUAUUACGGUGGGUGAACAAAUUACUGUCGAGCAAUUGAUAGAAAAGCGAAUAAUUAUGAGAUUAUCUAGGCAUGAUCAUGUAUAUAGGCAUCACGUCCAUGAUAAGUAGACCGACUCCUGCCUGCAUCUACUACUAUUACUCCACACAUCGACCGCUAUCUAGCAUGCAUCUAGAGUAUUAAGUUCAUAAGAACAGAGUAACGCAUUAAGAAAGAUGACAUGAUGUAGAGGGAUAAACUCAAGCAAUAUGAUAUAAACCCCAUCUUUUUAUCCUCGAUGGCAACAAUACAAUACGUGUCUUGCAACCCUUUCUGUCACUGGUUAAGAACACCGCAAGAUUGAACCCAAAGCUAAGCAUUUCUCCCAUGGCAAGAAAGAUCAAUCUAGUAGGCCAAACCAAACUGAUAAUUCGAAGAGACUUGCAAAGAUAACUCAAUCAUACAUAAAAGAAUUCAAAGAAGAAUCAAUUAUUAUUCAUAGAUAAACUUGAUCAUAAACCCACAAUUUAUCGGAUCUCGACAAACACACCGCAAAAAGAGUUUACAUCUAAUAGAUCUCCACAAGAGAGGGGGAGAACAUUGUAUUGAGAUCCAAAAGAGAGAAGAAUCCAUCUAGCUAAUAACUAUGGACCCGAAGGUCUGUGGUAAACUACUCACAACUCAUCGGAAGGGCUGUGGUGUUGAUGUAGAAGCCCUCCAUGGUGGAUUCCCCCUCCAGCAGAACGCCAGUGAUGGCUCCAAGAUGGGAUCUUGCGGAUAUAGAAGGUUACGGUGGCGGAAAUAUUUCUUUGGUGGCUCUCUGGAUGUUUUCGGGGUAUGUAGGCUUAUAUAGGAGGAAGAAGUACGUCGGUGGCCACCCGAGGGGUCCACGAGACAGGGGGGAGCGCCCAGGAGGGGUGGGCGCACCCUCCUAUCUCGUGGCCGCCUUGGCUGCUUCUUGGCUAGCACUCCAAGUCCUCCGGAUCACGUUCGUUCCAAAAAUCACGCUCCCGAAUGUUUCAUUCCGUUUGGACUCCGUUUGAUAUUCCUUGUCUUCGAAAUACUGAAAUAGGCAAAAAACAUCAAUAUGGGCUGGGCCUCCGGUUAGUAGUUUAGUCCCAAAAAUGAUAUAAUUGUGUAAAAUAAAGCCCAUAAACAUCCAAAACAGGUAAUAUAAUAACAUGGAACAAUCAAAAAUUAUAGAUACGUUGGAGACGUAUCAAGCAUCCCCAAGCUUAAUUCAUGCUCGUCCUUGAGUAGGUAAAUGAUAAAAACAGAGUUUUUGAUGUGGAAUGCUACCUAGCAUAAUUCUCAAUGUAAUUUUCUUUAUUGUGGCAUGAAUGUUCAGAUCCAAAUGAUUUAAGAUAAAAGCUUAUAAAACAUAAAAAUAAUAAUACUUUGAAGCACACUAACAAAUAAUCAUGUCCUAUCAAAAUAGCAUAGCCAAAGAAAGCUUAUCCAUACAAAAUCAUAUAGUUAGGCCAUGCUUCAUUUUCAUUACACAAAAUACUCCCAUCAUGUACAACCCCGAUGACGAGCCGAGAAAUUGGUUCACACUUUUUAACGUGCUUCAUAUUUUUCAACUCUUAUGCAAUACAAGAGCGCAAGCCAUGGACAUAGCACUAUGGUGGUCUAUGGUGGUGGUUGUAAGGACAAAAGGGAGAAGACAGUCUGACAUCAACUAGGCGUAUCAACGGGCUAUGGAGAUGCCCAUUGAUAGAUAUCAAUGUGAGUGAGUAGGGAUUGCCAUGCAACGGAUGCACUAGAGCUAUAAAUGUAUGAAAGCUCAACAAAAGAAACUAAGUGGGUGUGCAUCCAACUUGCUUGCUCACGAAGACCUAGGGCAUUUUGAGGAAGCCCAUCAUUGGAAUAUACAAGCCAAGUUCUAUAAUGAAAAAUUCUCACUAGUAUAUGAAAGUGACAACAUAUGAGACUCUCUAUCAUGAAGAUCAUGGUGCUAUUUUGAAGCACAAGUGUGGAAAAGAGAUAGUAGCAAUUGUCCCUUCUCUCUUUUUCUCUCAUUUUUUUCUUUUUCUCUCUUUUUUCUUUUUUUCCUUUUCUUUCUUCUUCUUUUUUCUUUUUUUUCUUUUUUUCUUUUUGGUGGACUUCUUUGGCCUCUUUUAUUUUUAUAAAGUCUGAAGUCUCAUCCCGACUUGUGGGGGAAUCAUAGUCUUCAUCAUCCUAUCCUCACUGGAACAAUGCUCUAAUAAUGAAGAUCAUCACACUUUUAUUGACUUACAACUCAAGAAUUACAACUCAAAGCUAGAACAAGAUAUGAAUCUAUAUGAAUGCCUCCGGCGGUGUACCGGGAUAUGCAAUGAAUCAAGAGUGACAUGUAUGAAAAUUAUGAAGGUGGCUUUGCCACAUAUAUGAUGUCAACUACAUGAUCAUGCAAAGAGCAAUAUGACAAUGAUGGAGUGUGUCAUAAUAAAUGGAACGGUGGAAAGUUGCAUGACAAUAUAUCUCGGAAUGGCUAUGGAAAUGCCAUAAUAGGUAGGUAUGGUGGCUAUUUUGAGGAAGGUAAAUAAUGGGUGCAUGCUACCGGCGAAAAUUGCGCGGUAAAAUAGAGGCUAGAAAAGUGGAAGGAUGAGUGUGCGUAUAUCCAUGGACUCACAUUAGUCAUAAAGAACUCAUAUACUUAUUGCAAAAGUCUACUUAGCCCUUGAAGCAAAGUACUACUACGCAUGCCCCUAGAGGGAUAGAUUGGUAGGAAAAGACCAUCGCUCGUCCCCGACUGCCACUCAUAAGGAAGACAAUCAAAAGAGCACCUCAUGCAACAAAUUUGUCACACAACUUUUACCAUACGUGCAUGCUACGGGACUUGCCAACUUCAACACAAGUAUUUCUCAAUUUCAUAAUAAUCCACUAGCAUGACUCUAGCAUUACUACCUUUAUAUCUCAAAAAAAUUAUCAAGCAUCAAAUUGAUCCUAGUGUUUAAUGCAUUUUCUAUGAUAUUUUUUAUUAUACCCAACUUGGAUGCUCAUCAUUCUAGGACCAAAUUCACAGCCAUAGCAAAUACCAUGCUGUUCUAAGAGACUCUCAAAAUAAUAUAAGUGAAGCAUGAGAGACUAGCAAUUUCUUCAAAAUUAAUCCACCACCGUGCUCUAAAAUAUAUAAGUGAAGUACUAGAGCAAAAACUAUCUAGCUCAAAAGAUAUAAGUGAAGCACAUGGCAAAUUCUAAUAAAGUGGGAUUUUCCCAAAAGGUGUGUACAGCAAGGAUGAUUGUGGUAAACUAAAAAUAAAAGACUAAUAUAAUACACGACGCUCCAAGCAAAACACAUAUCAUGUGCCGAAUAAAAAUAUAGCUCCAAGUAAAGUUACCAAUGAACGAUGACGAAAGAGGGGAUGCCUUCCGGGGGCAUCCCCAAGCUUAGGCUUUUGGCUAUUCUUGAAUAUCUUGGGGUGCCUUGGGCAUCCCCAAGCUUAGGCUUUUGCUACUCUUUAUUCCAUAGUCCAUCAAAUCUUUACCCAAAACUUAAAAACUUCACAACACAAAACUCAACAGGAAAUAUCAUAAGCUCCGUUAGUGAAAGAAAACAAAACCACCACAUAAGGUACUAUAAUGAACUCAUUAUUUAUUUAUAUUGGUGUUAAACCUACUGUAUUCCAAGUUCUCUAUGGUUCAUACCCUUACAUACUAGCCAUAGAUGCAUCAAAAUAAGCAAACAACACACGAAAAACAGAAUCUGUCGAAAACAGAACAGUCUGUAGCAAUCUGUAGGUAACACAAACUUCUGGAACCUUAAAAAUCCUACAAAAAUAGUACCUCAUAAACAAUUUUUUAUUGAACAGCAGCAAAAAGAAUCAAUGCAAAAGCUCGUUUCUGUGAUUCAUUGAAGUUUUUCUCAUGAGCGCAAAGUUUCUGUUUUUCAGCAGAAUCAAAUCAACUCAUAUCAUAGGUUAUCCUAUAGGUUCUACUUGGCACAAACACUAAAUAAAACUUGAAAACACAUCUAAACAGAAAGUAGAUGCAAAAUUUAUUAAUAAACAGGAACAAAAACAAAAAACACAAAGAAAAUUGGGUUGCCUCCCAACUAGCGCUAUCGCUUAAUGCCCCUAGCUAGGCAUAAAAGCGAAGAUAGAUUUAAGUAGUGCAAUCUUUGACACUUGAUUCCUCAAUAGAGCAUUUAUGAUCUUUAGAGGUUUCUCCCUUUUUAGCAAAGAUUAAACCUUUAGGAAAAAAAUCAAGAAAUUCGUUGGUACAAAAAGGUUCCUUAACGAUAGAGAGACAAUUGGGAUGAGCACUUAUGGAUUUGAGAUCCGCGUCACCUUUACUAGAAGAUUCACCCUUAUUUUUAGGAACAUAAAUAAACUUGGCAGUUUUGGUAGGAGGUUUUGGAGUGUUUUUCAUGGAAGAAAACACGGAACCUUAGUUGGUAAUGAUAUCCUCAAGUUUACCGAUUCUUGCAGAAUCUAGAUCUAUUUUUUCAUUAACUAUAGGUUCUUUCUCUUUAAGAUUUUUCAAAGUAACUCCAACCCUAGAUCCAUAUUGGGUAAUGUGAUUAUGAAUCUUUUUAUCCAAAUUUUCAAUCAACUCAACAAUGGCAAUUUUAUUUUCAAUAAUCUCAAGCUGUUGCAUAACAUGUUCUAAAGUUAAAAUAGUUCCAUUAACCAAAAGAGGUGGUGGGCCAAAAAAAAUCUAACAUAGCAUUAUAAGCUUCAAACGUGUGGCUAUUCAAGAAAUCCCCUCCGGCAACGGUAUCAAGAACGCAUCUAUUCCAAGGAGUAAUGCCUAAAUAAAAAUUGCGAAGAAGAACGGAAGCAGAAAGCUUCCCAGUGGAUUUAUUUUGAGCAUUGCAAAUUAUGCCAAGCAUCUUUUAAAUUUUCUCCCUCUCUUUGCUUAAAAUUGAGAAUUUCAUGUUCGGGAGUAAUAACAAGGAUAGGAGGACUAGCCAUAACGACAAGGUAAACAAUCUAACAUGCGAGCAAACGGAAAAGAGGCAAGUGAAAAAGAGAGGAGAUUGGGAAAGAGAGGGCAAAUAAAACGGCAAGGGUGAAGUGGGGGAGAGGAAAACGAGAGGCAAAUGGCAAAUAAUGUAAAUGCAAGGGAGAUGAGUUUGUGAUGGGUACUUGGUAUGUCUUGACUUGAGUGAAGACCUCCCCGGCAACGGUGCCAGAAAUCCUUCUUGGUACGUCUUGAGCUUGCGUUGGUUUUCCUUGAAGAGGAAAGGGUGAUGCAGCACAAUAGCGUAAGUAUUUCCCUCAGUUUUUGAGAACCAAGGUAUCAAUCUAGUAGGAGGCUCCUCACAAGUCUCACGAACCUACACAAACAAACAAAGAACUCGCAACCAACGCGAUAAAGGGGUUGUCAAUCCCUUCACGGCCACUUGCGAAAGUGAGAUCUGAUAGAGAUAGUAUGAUAAGAUAAAUAUAUUUUUGGUAUUUUAUAAUAUAGAUGCAGAAAAUGAAGAUGCAAAUAAAAGUGGAUUAAAAGCUUAUAUGAUAAAUGAUAGACUCGGGGGCCAUAGGUUUCACUAGAGGCUUCUCUCAAGAUAGCAUAAGUAUUAUGGUGGGUGAACAAAUUACUGUCAAGCAAUUGAUAGAAAAGCGAAUAAUUAUGAGAUUAUCUAGGCAUGAUCAUGUAUAUAGGCAUCACAUCCGUGACAAGUAGACCGACUCCUGCCUGCAUCUACUACUAUUACUCCACACAUCGACCGCUAUCCAGCAUGCAUCUAGAGUAUUAAGUUCAUAAGAAUAGAGUAACGGAUUAAGAAAGAUGACAUGAUGUAGAGGGAUAAACUCAAGCAAUAUGAUAUAAACCCCAUCUUUUUAUCCUCGAUGGCAACAAUACAAUACAUGUCUUGCAACCCUUUCUGUCACUGGGUAAGAACACCGCAAGAUUGAACCCAAAGCUAAGCACUUCUCCCAUGGCAAGAAAGAUCAAUCUAGUAGGCCAAACCAAACCGAUAAUUCAAAGAGACUUGCAAAGAUAACUCGAUCAUACAUAAAAGAAUUCAGAGAAGAUUCAAUUAUUAUUCAUAGAUAAACUUGAUCAUAAACCCACAAUUCCUCGGAUCUCGACAAACACACCACAAAAAGAGUUUACAUCGAAUAGAUCUCCACAAGAGAGGGGGAGAACAUUGUAUUGAGAUCCAAAAAGAGAGAAGAAGCCAUCUAGCUAAUAACUAUGGACCCGAAGGUCUAUGGUAAACUACUCACAACUCAUCGGAAGGGCUAUGGCAUUGAUGUAGAAGCCCUCCGUGGUGGAUUCCCCCUCCGGCAGAACAUUAGCGAUGGCUCCAAAAUGGGAUCUCGUGGAUACAGAAGGUUACGGUGGCGGAAAUAUUUCUUAGCUGGCUCUCUGGAUGUUUUUGGGGUAUGUAGGCUUAUAUAGAAGGAAGAAGUACGUCGGUGGCCGCCCGAGGGGUCCACGAGACAGGGGGGCGCGCCCAAGAGGGGUGGGCGCGCCCUCCUAUCUCGUGGCCGCCUCGGCUGCUUCUUGGCUUGCACUCCAAGUCCUCCGGAUCACGUUCGUUCCAAAAAUCAUGCUCCCGAAAGUUUCAUUCCGUUUGGACUCCGUUUGAUAUUCCUUUUCUUCGAAAUACUGAAAUAGGCAAAAAGACAGCAAUACGGUUGGGCCUCCGGUUAGUAGGUUAGUCCCAAAAAUGAUAUAAUUGUGUAAAAUAAAGCCCUUAAACAUCCAAAACAGGUAAUAUAAUAGCAUGGAACAAUCAAAAAUUAUAUAUACGUUGGAGAUGUAUCAGUGACUAUGGGAUAAUCUAUGCAUAGGGGUUGAUGCACAUUUUUAUUAUCUUUGCUCCGAUAGAAACUUUGGGGUCUCAUUGUAGUUCUUUGUGCGGAUUGAGUAUUAUGAAUCUGAAAUUGUUUUAUACAUAUCGCAUAAUUAACUCAGGGUACUCGCGGUGACAUUGGGGUAUCUGGGUGACAUUAGAGUUGGUUGAUAUGCAUCAUAUGGUGUUAUUUUAGUACGAACUCUUGAUUAGAUCGAUCGGAAAGAAUAGCUUGCUGUUAUUUUAGUACGAACUCUAGGAUAGAUUGAUCAGAAAGAAUAGCUUUGAGGUGGUUUCGUACCCUACAAACAAUUUCUAUCUUUUGUUCUCUGCUAAUUGGAACUCGGGUGUGAUUCUUUAUUGCACUUUGAGAGAUAAUCAUAUGAUCCAACUAUGUUAGCAUUGUUCAUAGAUUGCACUAGUGAAAGUAUGCAUCCUAAGCUUCAUUUUCCAUUAUUGCAAUACCAUUUGUGCUCCGUUUUACUAUUUACUACCUUGAUGUUUUUUAUUGUUCGCACUACAAAAACUCAUAUCUAUUAUCCAUACUACACUUUUAUCACCAUCUCUUCGCCGAACUAGUGCACCUAUACAAUUUGCCAUUGUAUUGGGUGUGUUGAGGACACAAGAGAUUUCUUGAAUUUGGUUGCAGGAUAGCUUGAGAGAGACUAUCUUCAUCCUACGCCUCCCACGGAUUGAUAAACCUUAGGUCAUCCACUUGAGGGAAAAUUGCUGCUGUCCUACAAAACUCUGCGCUUGGAGGCCCGACACGUGUCUACAAGAAUAAAGUUGCGUAGUAGACAUCACUCCCCUAGUCCAAUUCGGACACCUCAUGGGGGGGGCGCCACCUCCUCGUCGCCCACCUCUCCUCUCCCCUAUGGCCCAAUAAGGCCCAUUACUUCCGCGGGGGGUUCCGGUAACCCCUCGGUACUCUGAUAUUUAUCCAAAACAUUCCAGAACCAUUUCGAUGUUCGAAUAUAACCUUCCAAUGUAUAAAUCUUUACAUCUAAACCAUUUUGAGACUCCUAGUCAUGUCUGUGAUCUCAUCCGGAACUCCGAACAACCUUCGGUCACCAAAACACACAACUCAUACAAUACAUAUCGUCAUCGAACGUUAAGCGUGCAGACCCUACUGGUUCGAGAACUAUGUAGACAUGACCGAGACACCUCUCCGGUCAAUAACCAAUAGCGGAACCUGGAUGCUCAUAUUGGUUCCCACAUAUUUUAUGAAGAUCUUUAUCGGUCGAACCGCAAUGUCAACAUACAUUAUUCCCUUUGUCAUCGGUAUGUUACUUGCCCGAGAUUCGAUCGUCGGUAUCUUCAUACCUAGUUCAAUCUUGUUAUCAGCAAGUCUCUUUACUCAUUCUGUAGUGCAUCAUCCCGCAACUAACUCAUUAGUCACAUUGCUUGCAAGGCUUCAUAUGAUGUGCAUUACCGACAGGGCCCAGAGAUACCUCUCCGAUACUCGGAGUGACAAAUCCUUAUCUCGAUCUAUGCUAACCCAACAAACACCUUCAGAGAUACCUGUAGAACAUCUUUAUAAUCACCAAGUUACGUUGUGACGUUUGAUAGCACACAAGGCAUUCCUCCGGUGUGCGGGAGUUGCAUAAUCUCAUAGUCAGAGGAAUAUAUAUUUGACACGAAGAAAGCAGUAGCAAUAAAACUGAACGAUCAUUAUGCUAAGCUAACGGAUGGGUCUUGUCCAUCACAUCAUUCCACUAAUGAUGUGAUGCCAUUUAUCAAAUGACAACUCAUGUCCAUGGCUAGGAAACUUAACCAUCUUUGAUCAACGAGCUAGUCUAAUAGAGGCAUACUAGGGACACAGUGUUUUGUCUAUGCAUUCACACACGUACCAAGUUUCCGGUUAAUACAAUUCUAGCAUGAAUAAUAAACAUUUAUCAUGAAUAAGGAAAUAUAAAAUAACAACUUUAUUAUUGCCUCUAGGGCAUAUAUCGUUCAGUCUCCCACUUGCACUAGAGUCAAUAAUCUAGAUUACAUUGUAAUGAAUCUAACACCCAUGGAGCACUACUAGGGAAAACCCUAUCAGUAGCGCGGGUUUAAUGCCUAUCAGUAGCGCGGGGAACCGCGCUACUAGUAAGGCGCUAGAGCUAAAGGUUAGCAGUAGCAUGGGUUGGACCAUGCUACUGCUAUAUCGACCUAGUAGUAGCGCUUUCUACAAUCAGCGCUACUGGUAAUUAGUACUAGCGCUUCUCCGAGCACGCGCUACUACUAUUAUUCCGUAUUGUACUUCUUUUUUAUUUCAUGUUGUAUUCAUACACAUUUAUACAAGUUUUCAUACCGCAACAAUUUAGAGAUUGUUUUUACAUCGUAAUGAGUUAUUACAUCACUGGGAGAAAGAACCGUCGACUAGUUUCAAGUGGAUGGACAUCCACUUGAAACUAAUCCGUGGUUCUUUCACCCAAUGAUAUAAUAAAUAUCAUCAUCAUCAUCAUCAUCAUCAUAUCAUCAACACCUUAUCAUCAUAAUACUUCAUUGUCAUAUAACACCUCCUCAUGAUCAUCGUUUUCAUCAAUGAGACAUCACAUACAAGUUGGUCACUAGUCAUAAUCACAACUACUCCUCAUCAUCAACUCUCAUAAACAUAUUGUACCUCAUAGGACCUACUAAAUUCUCUUAGGACCCACUAUAUUCUCUUAGGUAAAAUAGCAUAAAACAAGAUAACCCCUGACUCUCCAUUAUGGAGAAUGGAGAUUAUCCUGUCUCCAAUUCUUGCAUGUCACACAAUGUUGCUUCCAAGAACCUCCUUAGGAUUGUCCAUACAUUUUUUUCCAUUCUUUGAUUAUCAUGUGUUCACCGGUUUUAGAAUCCGGUAUUGACAGGUGAGAUUCAUAGGACGACCUGGCUGUAUGUUCAAAACAUCAAGGCGACCAUUCUGAUACAUCAAAUGAGGCACACAAUCCAUCGGGAUUUUCUAUUGAAAAACGUAUGUAGUUCAGUUUUAUAAGUAUGCAAAAGAUGCACGGAUGUCGUAAUAGUAAAAAAAUCUUACCAGGGCAUCUCCAUGGAAGUUAUCAUGGUUCAACACGUGCACUAGUAGCACGUAUUGACCAUAAUGUGGAGGAGUUCGAUAAUAGGCAUUGUAAUUCUCAAUUUCAGUAUAAUAUUCGACCAUAUGAUUUUUCUCCUGAUAAGUUAACUCAGAGCCAUCGGUGUAGUAGGUUCUGUCUACCAUCUUCCGCACAUUCUUUGAAGAAUGAAAAUAAGCUAUCAAUGGAAAUAAGCUGUCAACUAUUUUGAAAUAAACAAUAUAAAUCACUUAAUAACUAUGUUUCAGAAAACUCACAUAGCGGUAGAAUUGGAAGCGUAUCAACAAGACCCAAAUGUCCAAAUUGUCUUGGUUGAUGUCAGGAUCACCAAGAUCCGUGGUGACAAACAUACCCUCUUGAAAAUCAUACAUCUUGCAAAGUGCUUCCCAACCCGUGCAACCAAAAUGGGAUAUGCUCUCAGAAUUGUAUAGAUUUACCUCAAAAUCCAUACCAUGAUGGGUCCUUAGGUUAAUUUUCUUUGUUUCAUUCCUCUCAUGAUCUUCAAAACCCAUCCUUUCCAAGACAUAGCGUCUUGCAUGGCAUGGGAUAAGCUAGUCGAAUUGGAAAAUACGAAAAUUACACAUUGAAGUAGUAGAAGUCGAGCUUAAUUACGAAAAAAAUGCUUUGCAUCAUAGCUUACCGUAUCACAAUCGAAGGCCUCCUCGAGCUUAAUGCUGAAGUGCGACCUUUGUCUAGGUGAGGCCUGUCGUAGAAACCCCGGUUGUCACCGCACCAGGAGCACUCCCCGGGACCUUCUUUGUCCGACGACAUUUCCUAUGUUCAUAAUUCAAAGAUUAAACUUGUACAAUUAAAUAUAUGUACUACAAAAACUUAAUUAGAUCAUUAUUAUUCAUCAUGGGUUGAGUAUUGGUAUGUCGAGUCUUUUCUUGAAAACUCUCAGCUCACGUGGUGUGUAUAUUCGACCGUCGGUGAUGGUAGCUCCUCCUUUUGUUCCCAAGUGCAUUACACCAAAUUGUCUAGCACAUGAGAACAAAGGAGAAGCUACCCCCACAACAACAGUCGUGAUUCUUCAUCCUCUCAUAUAUGGUGGAGGCUCUCCCUCACUGAUUCCUCUCUGACAUUUGCGACCGUCGGUGAUGGUCGUUACUCCUCCUUCCCCUAGUGCAUAACAAAGGUCUAGCACAAGGAGAAGAAGGAGAAACGACCCCCACGAUAAUAGUCGGAUUCUUUGGCCUUGACAGACUUAAAGUCAACCCGAAAUAUCGUUUAAUUAUCUUUCUAGAAAAUCCAGGGCACUCGAUAUUUCCUACAUAUUAUAGCACAAGUCAUGCCAAAAUUCACGUAAAAUUCCGGCAUGACCUUUGCUAAAAAGGACAUAUCGAGUGCCUAAAAUUUGCCAGAACGGAAAUUAAUCAACACUCCGACAAAACAUAGGCCACUCGGAGGUGUAGCCUGCAAACAUUACUGGCCACUUGGGCAACCACAUAUCCUAUUUGAGCAACACAAGAUAUACAUGUUUUUAUCUACAUCAUAUCUUAUAGGAGUCAUAUUGAUAUGGAGAUUUGGCUGGUCUCACCUCGAGGUCGGAGGGGGUCGGUGACAGGGACGACGACGGGGAUGAUGGAGGGGCUCCCAGAUUUCUGCAAAAACAAAAACCCUAUAAGUUAUCACUAAUACAUCCCAAAUAGUAUCAUACAUAUAACAUCACUAAUACAACUAAAACCCUAGCUAACAACGGGUAUCGACGACGAGGAUGCGGGAUAGGCAUCAUCGACGUCGAUGCGGGAAUAAUUGCUUAAACUAAAAAAAUAACAACAAAUGUGACAUGUUCAACUAGUUCUUACUAAAAAUAAACUUACUAUAAAUAAAAAUAAACUAGUUCUUUCUAAAAAUAAACAAGUUCAACUAGUUAUAUUAAUUUUCUUACUAAAAAUACAUUAGUUCUAUUAAUUCAACUAGUUCUUACUAAAAAUAAACUAGUUCAACUAGUUUUAUUAAUUUACUUACUAAUUAUUUUAAACAAUUACUAAAAACAGUAAAAAAAACUACAUUAUACAAUAGUAAAAAAGUAUAGUAAAAAACAAAAAAAAAAGAUGGAGGGAGUUGGGGAAGGGAUGAGGAAGGNNNNNNNNNNNNNNNNNNNNNNNNNNNNNNNNNNNNNNNNNNNNNNNNNNNNNNNNNNNNNNNNNNNNNNNNNNNNNNNNNNNNNNNNNNNNNNNNNNNNNNNNNNNNNNNNNNNNNNNNNNNNNNNNNNNNNNNNNNNNNNNNNNNNNNNNNNNNNNNNNNNNNNNNNNNNNNNNNNNNNNNNNNNNNNNNNNNNNNNNNNNNNNNNNNNNNNNNNNNNNNNNNNNNNNNNNNNNNNNNNNNNNNNNNNNNNNNNNNNNNNNNNNNNNNNNNNNNNNNNNNNNNNNNNNNNNNNNNNNNNNNNNNNNNNNNNNNNNNNNNNNNNNNNNNNNNNNNNNNNNNNNNNNNNNNNNNNNNNNNNNNNNNNNNNNNNNNGGGCAGCUGGAGGAGGAGGGGGGAGGAGGGACGGGAGGAGAGAGGAGGGAGGAGGAGGGACGGAGGGAGUACCUCGGUGGAGGAGCAGCGCGACGGCGGCGGACGACGGAACCGGCGCGGGCGAGAGUGAGUGAGAGGGUCGGGCGCGUGUAGGAUAAGGUAAGUAAGUAGUAGCACAUUUCCGAGAUACGCGCUACUGCUAUGGGACGUAGCAAUAGCGCUGGUUACAGAUACAUCCUACUCCUAAGUGGGGAGAGCUAUCUGCGCCAAGUACAAACAUAGCUGCAACGCGUUUUCCUAGCACGCGCUACUGCUAAAGUAGGAGCAGUAGCGCGGUUUAUUUAGACACGCUACUACUAAGUAGCAGUAGCGCCCAUUUUUGUCCAGUGCUACUGCUAAGAUGCUGUGUUUAAGGUUUUCCCUAGUAGUGGAGUCUUGGUGGUGAUCAUGUUUUCCUCGUGGAAGAGGCUUAGUCAACGGGUCUGCAACAUUCAAAUUCGUAUGUAUUUUGCAAAUCUCUAUGUCUCCCUCCUUGACCAAAUCUCGGAUGGAGUUGAAGCGUCUCUUGAUGUGUUUGGUCUUUUUGUGAAAUCUGGAUUCCUUCGCCAAGGCAAUUGCUCCAGUAUUGUCACAUUUUUUUUUCAUUGGACACGAUGCACUAGGUAUUACACCUAGAUCGGAUAUGAACUCCUUCAUCUAGACUCCUUCAUUUGCUGCUUCCGAAGUAGCUAUGUAUUCCACUUCACACGUAGAACCCGCCACGAUGCUGUGCUUGGAACUGUACCAACUGACUGCUCCACCAUUCAAAAAAUACGUAUCCGGUUUGCGACUUAGAGUCAUCCGGAUCAGUGUCAAAGCUAGCGUCCAUGUGACCACUUAAGACAAGCUCUUUUUGUCAUCUCCAUAAACGAGAAACAUAUCCCUAGUCCUUUUCAGGUACUUCAGGAUGUUCUUCACCGUUGUCCAGUGAUCCACUCCUGGAUUACUUUGGUACCUCCCCGCUAAACUUAUAGGAAGGCACACAUCAGGUCUAGUACACAACAUAUCAUACAUGAUAGAACCUAUGACUGAAGCAUAGGGAAUGGCUUUCAUUUUCUUCUAUCUUCUAUAGUGGUUGGGCAUUGAGUCUGACUCAACUUCACACCUUGUAACACAGGCAAGAACCCUUUCUUUGACUGAUCCAUUUUGAACUUCUUCAAAACUUUAUCAAGGUAUGUGCUUUGUGAAAGUCCUAUUAAGCGUCUUGAUCUAUCUCUAUAGAUCUUGAUGCCCAAUAUAUAAGCAGCUUAACUAAGGUCUUUCAUUGAAAAACUCUUAUUUAAGUAUCCUUUUAUGCUAUUCAGAAAUUCUACAUCAUUUCCAAUCAACAAUAUGUCAUCCACAUAUAAUAUUAGGAAUGCUAUAGAGCUCCCACUCACUUUCUUGUAAAUACAGGCUUCUCCAAAAGUCUAUAUAAAACCAUAUGCUUUGAUCACCUCAUCAAAGCGUAUAUUCCAACUCCGAGAUGCUUGCACCAGUCCAUAACACUACAGAAAUCAGGCACUUUGCUGCCAGCCAUGGCUGACGGCAAAGACCUUUGCCGUCAGCCAGCAGACGACAACAGGUCCGACUGAAUAGGCUAUGACAAAGGCCACUUUGCCGUCUGCUGGCGGACGACAAAGAUGAAAUGGUCUUUGCCGUCAGGUAGCGGACGACAAAGGACCUGGACGACACACGUGGAAGCUUAGGGCCGUUAAGGGGUUAACGGUGUGUUUUGCCAUCUGCUGGCAGACGACAUAGAUGCAAAGUUCUUUGCUGUCAGCGAGGAGAUGGCAAAGAGACUAUAUAGGCCAGCCCAGUGCCCCAGGUUGUACAGGUACCUACCACGUGGCAGCUUUGCCGUCUGCUAGGUGAUGGCAAAGCUCUUUGCCGUCUGCUAGCGCACGACAAAGUGCCUGUAUAGCCCCUUUUUUUCUUUAAUUCAUUGAAUUUGAUAGAAUUUCACAGAUAUAUAUGUAUAUAUACACACAUUUGAAAAUAAUUUCAACAAUCAUACCAACAAUAAGUUUCCAACAACAUAAGAAACAUACAAGUUUCCAACAACAUAUCCAGCAUACAACAAUUUCCAACAAGAAGUUUCCAACAACAUAUCCAUAUAUACAUACAUAUCCAAAACAAGUUUCCAACAAGAAGUUUCCAACAACAUAUCCAUAUAUGCAUACAUAUCCAAAAGAAGUUCCAGCAAGUUUCCAUAAACAAAAAGGAAGCACAAGGAGAAGAGUACACUCCAUCAAUGCAAGCUUCCUCAUCUAAAGCAAAUCUGCAAAUUGGGAAAGAUGAAAGUUAGAAUAAGAAGAAGACUAGCUAGAAGAAAAAGAAGAAGAAGAAUUUGGCUUCUCUUUCUAUUUCUCCUCUCAUCUUCUUUAUAUUCUUCUUCUUCUAACUAACGUAGGUAAAAAUGCCAUUUUUAGCUAAAUUAGGUAAAAAUGCUAAGUGUGUAGGUCAUUUUAGAGCUAAGCUAGGUAAAUAGGUAAUUUUGGAGCUAACCUAGGUAAAAUGGAUCAUAUUGGAGCUAACCUAGGUAAACUUGGUCAUUUUGGAGCUAACCUAGGUAAAAUGGAUCAUAUUGGAGCUAACCUAGGUAAAAUUGGUUAAAGCAUAUUAUGCCAUUUUUGACAUAAGUAAGCUAAGUAUAGGUCUUUCUUGAGCUAACCCAGGUAACUAAGCAUAUUAGAGCUAAUUUAGCAUUUUAGAGCUAACUUAGAGCUAAGUUAGGCCAUUUUGGAGCUAACUUAGGUAAAAUUUAUCAUUUUGGAGCUAAUUAGGCUUAUUAUGUCAUUUUUGAGGAAAAUAAGCUAUCUAUAUUACAUAUAUGAGGUUACCAAGAUCGUUAUGCCAUUUCAAACCUAAGUAAGCUAAUUAUGCCAUUUUUGACAUAAGUAAGCUAAGUGUCUGUCAUUAUUGAACAAACUUAGGUAACUAAGCAUAUUAGAGAUAACUUAGCAUAUUAGAGCUAACUUAGGUCAUUUCGGAGGAAACAAAGCUAAGUAUAGAUCAUUUUGGAGAUCUGACAUACCUGACAUACUUCGCUCCUCCUUCUUCUCCUUCUCCUUCAUCAUCCUGAUGCGCUUAGACUGGCGAGGUAGUGGGAUGUUGUCUUCUACCACAAUUGGCAUGGUCAUGUUGCCCAGCUGUGGGAUCGCGAGGUCAUUGUCAGGCACCACCACCAUCGCAAGGCCAUCUUCAGGCAACACCAUCGCUAGGUCAUCGUCAGCCACCACCAUCUCUUGCCCAUUGUUAGGCACCACCAUCGCUUUCCCAUCGUCAGCCACCACCAUCGCUUGGCCAUCGUCAACCACCACCAUCGCAAGGUCAUCGUCAGACAUAAUAGGCUGCACCUCCUCAUCCCCACUCUGCUUCUCUUCUUCCCACUCCAUUCCGGAUCAUCCUCGCUACUGCUUUUGCUGUAGCCAGAGGCACUGCUGCUUUGGCUGUAGCCAGAGUCGCUGCUGCUGCUCACAUUGCCUGACCAAAUGCAACAAAGUUUCUUUAACAAUCGAUGUGAGACAAAGCCAAAUGUAGAGGAAGAAGAGGCAGAACAUACUGGCAUCGUCAUUGUCCUGGUAGCGCAUGCGGCAUAUAGUCGUGUUGAACACCUUCAUGGUGAGCAUGGCGUCGCUGUCGUACCUGAAGACAAGGAAGUACCCGUGCCGCAGGUUGUAGGUACAUACGAACUGUUCCCAGCCACGACAGAGGUACAUGUGGCCGUACCCGAUGACCACCUCCACGUCCCAAUGCCUGCGAAGCCCACUGCCGGCCUGUCGCAGCUUCACGUUCUUUGGCCGAUGGCUGUCCAGCAUCUUCAUAAAAGUGUGAGGCAGCUUCUACAACGUGGGUCAAGGAGUGAUGUAGCAAACAGCAGAGUUAUCAUAAAGAGAUUGGUGAAGGGGAGAUCUCUCCUUUUAUAUACCUGCCUCCUGGAGGAAUUCUCAAGUAUGAUAGUGAAGAACUCGAAACCAUCCAACUUGUACUCCAGUGUGGCAGAGCGCAGCCUACGUGGCGGCCUCCCCCAUCUCUAAUAAGUAGCAGAAGAGACCAAUUAGUAAUGCUCAUGUUUCAAAUUGAUCAUAGACAAAUUGAUCAUAGGUACAUUAGCAGUAAUAUUGUGGUGAUCACCAAAAAAUCAUUAGAGGAUAAAUGCAGUAAUAUUGACCAAGAAUUAUUAAGUUCCAGAUUGUGCAUAUUUACUUGAAUGUUCCACUAAAUGGCAACCUUUGCAUGUGCAUAAUUCUAAAUUGUACUAAAUGGCAACCGUUGCCCCUAACUAAACUAAACCGAAUUGCAAAAUCUUGCCCAAAACUGAACUUGAAGACAACUAAAUGGAAACUAUUGCCUACAACUGAACUGGCCUUGAGAGAAGAUGGCAAAAUAGAUCAAUUUGUGAGAAUGUCAUUACAAGAAGGUGCAGGUGGCGAAGUAGAUCAACUAAACUAAAUUGAACUACAACCUAGAACUGAACACUUGAGCAGAAAUCAACAAUACAAAGUGACAAAUUAUUUUGGUUUCUUGCUUCUUCAGACUCUCACUGAAAUUAGGCAUGGGAAUCACUAAAACAAAAAGUGUAUCACCAUAAACCAGUAAAAUUAUCAUCUGGAACUGGUCUUUGUAGUUCAAAUAAGGAAGUAAGAUCUUUCUUUCAAAUUAUCAUCAUAGUUGUAAACUAACUAUAUGAGCAAGAUUACCAUGCUAUAAUAUGGGCGUCGUUGUCAUUUUGUUAGGGCAUGGUUCUUUGCCGUCUGUCAGCAGACGGCAAAGAGCCUAGUUCACGGAUGUUAGUUUGGCCACCUUCUAUGCCGUUUGCUAGCAGACGGCAAAGAAACUUUGCCGUCCACUCAUAGACGUCAAUGAAAGUGGCCGUUAGGUGGUCCUCUCUAGUGGGCCACCCACACUCUUUGUCGUCUGCCAGCUGACGGCAAAGCUUCUAUGUCGUCCGCUGGCAGAUGGCAAAGAGCUGGCCGACGGCAAACAUGACCUUUGCCGUCAGCUCAGUCUUUGCCGUCAGCUUUCUUCAAUCUGAUGGUAAAGACAUUCUUUACCGUCAGCCAACUGAAGGCAAAGAGCUGGCUGACGGCAAAGAUCCUGAUUCCAGUAGUGUAAAUGGAUCGUUGGAGCUUGCACACUUUGUUAGCCCCUUUAGUAUCGACAAAACCUUCUGGUUGCAUCAUAUACAACUCUUCUUUAACAAAGCCAUUAAGGAAUGCAGUUUUGACAUCCAUUUGUCAGAUUUCAUAAUCAUAAAAUAUGGUAAUUGCUAACAUGAUUCGAACAGACUUAAGCAUCGCUACGGUGAGAAAGUCUAAUCAUAGUCAACUCCUUGAACUUGUCGAAAACCCUUUGCAACAAGUCAAGAUUUAUAGACAGUAACAUUACCAUCAGCGUCAGUCUUCUUCUUGAAGAUCCAUUUUUUCUCUAUGGGUCGCUGAUCAUCGGGAAGAUCCACCAAAAUCCACACUUUUUUUCUCGUACAUGGAUCCUAUCUCAGAUUUCAUGGCCUCAAGCCAUUUAUCGGAAUCUGGGCUCAUCAUAGCUUCUUCAUAGUUCAUAGGUUCAUCAUGGUCAAGUAACAUGACCUGCAGGACAGGAUUACCGUACCACUCUGGUGUGAAUCGUGCGCUAUUUGACCUAGGAGGUUCUGUUGCAACUUGAUAUGUAGUUUCAUGAUCUUUAUCAUUAGCAUCCUAUCCAGUUGGUGUAGGCAUCACGGGAAUAGAUUUCUCGCAUGAGAUACUUUCCAAAUUGAGAGCAUGUACAAUUACCUCAUCAAGUUCUACUUUCCUCCUACUCACUUCUUUCGAGAGAAACUCCUUCUCUAGAAAGGUUCCAUUCUUAGCAACAAAAAUCUUGCCUUAGGACUUGUGGUAGAAGGUGUACCCAAUUGUUUCCUUAGGGUAUUCUAUGAAGAUACACUUUUCUGAUUUGAGUUCGAGCUUAUCGUGCUAAAACCUUUUGACAUAAGCAUCGCAUCCCCAAACUUUAAGAAAUGAUAGCUUAGGUUUGUUGCUAACCCACAGUUCAUACGGUGUCGUCUCAACGGACUUUGACGGUGCCCUGUUUAAAGUGAAUGCAACUAUCUCCAAUGCAUAACCCCAAAAUGAUAGUGGUAAAUCGGUAAGAGACAUCAUAGAUCGCUCCAUAUCCAAUAAAGUGCGGUUACGACGUUCGGGCACACCAUUACGCUGUGGUGUUCCAGGUGGCGUGAGUUGUGAAACUAUUCCACAUUGUUUUAUAUGAAGGCCAAACUCGUAACUCAAAUAUUCUCCUCCACAAUCAGGUCGUAGAAACUUUAUUUUCUUGUUACGAUGAUUCUCCACUUCACUCUGAAAUUCUUUGAACUUUUCAAAUGUUUCAGACUUGUGUUUCAUUAAGUAGAUAUACCCAUAUCUGCUCAAAUCAUCUGUGAAGGUCAGAAAAUAACGGUACGUGCCACGAGCAUCAACACUCAUCGGACCGCAUACAUCAGUAUGUAUUAUUUCCAAUAAAUCAUUAACUCGUUGCAUUGUUCCGGAGAAUGGAGUUUUGUCAUCUUGCCCAUAAGGCACGGUUCGCAAGUAUCAAAUGAUUCAUAAUCAAGUGCUUCCAAAAGUCCAUAUUUAUGGAGUUUCUUCAUUCGUUUUACACUGAUAUGACCCAAACGGCAGUGCCACAAAUAAGUUGCACUAUCAUUAUCAACUUUGCAAUUUUUGGCAUCAAUAUUAUGAAUAUGUGUAUCAUCACGAUCAAGAUUCAACAGAAAUAGACCACUCUUCAAGGGUGCAUGAACAUAAAAGAUAUUACUCAUAUAAAUAGAACAACCAUUAUUCUCUGAUUUAAAUGAAUAACCGUCUCGCACUAAUCAUGAUCUAGAUAUAAUGUUGAUGCUCAACGCUGGCACCAAAUAUCAAUUUUUCAGGUCUAAAACUAAUUCCGAAGGUAGAUGUAGAGGUAGCGUGCCGACGGCGAUCACGCCGACCUUGGAACCAUUUCCGACGCGCAUCGUCACCUCGUCCUUAGCCAAUCUUCAUGUAAUCCGUAAUCCCUGCUUCGAGUUACAAAUAUGAGCAACCGAACCGGUAUCAAAUACCCAGGCACUACUAAGAGAAUUAGUAAGGUACACAUCAAUAACAUGUAUAUCAAAUAUAUCUUUGUUCACUUUGUUAGUCUUCUUAUCCGCCAAAAUAAUUGGGGCAGUUCCGCUUCUAGUGACCAGUCCCUUUGCAGUAGAAGCACUCAGUUUCAGGCUUGGGUCCAGCUUUGGGUUUCUUCCCGGGAGUGACAACUUGCUUAUCAUUCUUCUUUAAGUUACCCUUCUUUUUACCCUUGCCCUUCUUGAAACUAGUGGUUUUGUUAACCAACAACACUUGAUGCUCCUUCUUGAUUUCUACCUCCGCAACCUUUAGCAUUCCAUCCUUUGCGUAUUGUAGUUCGUCAAAAAGCCUUUGUAGCUUGGUGGCAGUGAUUGAAGAACUCUGUCAAUGACACAAUCAUCUGGAAUAUUAACUCCUAGCUGAGUCAAGUGAUUAUGGUACCCAGACAUUCUGAGUAUGUGCUCACUAACAGAAUUGUUCUCCUCCAUCUUGCAGCUAUAGAACUUGUUGGAGACUUCAUAUCUCUCAACUUGGGCAUUUUCUUGAAAUAUUAACUUCAACUCCUGGAACAUCUCAUAUGGUCCAUGAUGUUCAAAACGUCUUUGAAGUCCCGAUUCUAAGCCGUAAAUCAUGGCACACUGAACUAACGAGUAGUCAUUAGAUCAAGCUUGCAAAGCAUUCACAACAUCAGCUUCCGAUCCUGUAGCAGGCCUUGCAUCUAGCGGUGUAUCAAGGACAUAAUUAUUCUGUGCAGCAAUGAGGAUAAUCCUCAAGUUAUGGACCCAGUCCGUGUAGUUGCUACCAUCAUCUUUCAACUUAGCUUUUCUCUAGGAACGCAUUAAAAUUCAAGGGAAUGGUAGCACGGGCCAUUGAUCUACAACAUAGAUAUGCAAAAAACUAUGAGGACUAAGUUCAUGACAAAUUAAAUUCAAUUAAUCAUAUUGUCGGAUUUCGUCCGCAAACCCUUGAUAGGUUCGAACUCUGGGGUGCGUGCGGAGAUCUCAACCUACCCAGCCUGCCUACUCGCGAUCCUCUAGGCCUAGCGCAUCGAGCUCAAGGGGACAGAGAGACACAACAGUUUAUCCUGGUUCGGGCCACGUUGUAGUGUAAUACCCUACUUUAAGUGCAUCUAGUGCCCCUUAAUGAUUUUGGUGUAUUGAAGACUUAUAGGUUAAGGGAGUAAUAUGUUUGUGAGUGCACACAUGCUCUAUAAGUCAAUGAGGAGUUUGAUAUUUACAAUGAAUGUUGACCCCUAAAAAUGAAUGUCUUCAGCUGAAGACUUUGGUUCUCCUGAAGACUUUGAAAGUGAUGAAAUUGGUGUGAACUUGAAGACUUGUAUAUUCAUGCGAGGAUUAUGAAGUGUGAAGACUUUUGUUUUCGUAGUUUCAUUUUCUCUUUCUUGAGUCAUAGGAAACACCAUACUGUUAAAGGGGGUCGAGGUAAUACUAAGGAAACUGAUUUCCAUGUGAUGCUCAUCUCAAAAUCCUACACCUACCCAAUCCUUUCGAGUGAAGCCAUUGGAAAUCUCAUAUCAGUUCAGUCAAUUUCUUCAGUGACAGAUACGAAGAUCUUCUGGUCUCUGAGGAAUUUGUUUUGUCUGAGGAGUUAGGAAUUCGCUAGUGCGGAUUGCCUACACAGUGAGGAACAUGAUAGCCCUGAGGAAUUCGAACCUCAAAUCCGACCGUUGCUGUGCUACGCGCCAGCUGUCCAAAAUAUACUACCACCUAACGGUCAUAUCAUUGAAGGGCAUUUAUGUCUUAUCAUGUCGGGCUGCUCCCUAGGCUAUAAAUAGUCGCCCCCUUCAACAACUAGCUGGUUGACUGCUCCGAGAGAAACUGAUACUUGUCAAUUGAGAGCAUCCCAUCCUCCGAGGAAUUUGAAAAUCAUCAAGUGAGGAAAACCCAAAUCCCAAACCCAAAGUGAUUGAGCAUCACUAAAGAGAUUGUUCCUGUGUGGAACCGAUGCUUGUUACCUUUGAGGACUAUGUAUCCUCCAGACGGUUAGGCGUCAUGGUCUGAGCAUCCAAGAGGAAUUGUGGAUUGCCGAGUGACCAAGUCUAUGAAGGUUUGGAAGUCACCAGUGAAGACUUACCACGAGUGUUGGGCGAGGUCUGUGUGAUCUUAGUUCAAGGAGAAUACGGUGAGGACUGUGUGUCCUCGAGUUUAAAUACUUAGCCGCUCCAACCAGACGUACAACUGUCCCAGCAGUUGGAACUGGUCUACCAAAUCAUUGUCUUCACCAAGCCUACUGGUUCUAUUUCCUCAACCCUUUCAUUUCCUCAUUCAUGUGCUGAUGAACCUGAUCAUUACUAUUUGAAGACUUCGACUGAAGACUUUCUCUAUUUCCUUAAUUCAAUUUCUUCAGUCACAUUGUCUUCAGCCUGCUUAUCCAAUGUUUACGCUUCCUGUACUCUGUGUUUGUCUUUCAUUUCAUCAUGACGACUAUGCUAUUGCUCUGUUAUUCUUAUACCUGAGUACCUAUUCCGCUGCUAGUUGUUCGUGAGGAAUUUCCUCACCCUGAAAUUCCUCAGUGACGAAUUUGUAAAAAUCACCUAUUCACCCCCUCUAGUCGACUUAACGCACUUUCAAUUGGUAUCAGAGCAAGGUACUCCCUUCUUUUGUGUGAUUUUGGUUUAACCACCUAGAGUUUUAGUUAUGUCGACUACAAGUAUGAUCAAGGUCUCAGCUGGGUGUCCUACCUUCGAUGGAACGGACUACCCCUACUAGAAGAACAAGAGAUGCAUGCAUCUUGAGGCAAUUGAGAAUGAUCUCUGGUAUGUUGUGGAAAAUGGUGUUCCCUCAGUCACUCCGUCUGUGAAUGCUGCUGAUGUGAAGAGAUUCAAGCAACUUGAUUCUCAAGCGAAGAAUAUCAUAUGUGGCCAUCUGAGCAAAGGACAGUACAACAGAGUGACUGCUUUGGAAUCUGUUAAGCUGAUUUGGGACAGGCUGUCCAAGGUCAAUGAAGGAGUCUCUUCUCAACCCGACUCCCGAGUUGAUGUUCUUCGUAAUCUCUUCAACCGCUUCAAAAGACUCGACAAUGAGAAUGUUCAGCAAACCUUCGAUCGCCUCACUGACAUCUCAAAUGAGCUUCAAGCACUUGGUGCCACUGACAUCACCGACCAUGAGGUGGUGAAGAAAUUGCUUAGAUCACUUGAUUCCUCAUUCGAUACUCUUGCACUGAUGAUUCAAGAGCAAGCUGAUUACAAGUCACUAGAUCCCGCUGAUAUCCUCGAGAGGCUAAACACUCAUGAGUUCCAGCUUGCUGAGAAGAGAGAUCUCUAUGGACCAAGUUAUGGAAGAUCACGUGCACUGAAGGCCAAGGCAGUCUCUAAGUCUGAAGGUGAAGAUUAUGGUAGCACCCUUGGUGAUCCUGAACAACUAAGCCAGACGCUAGCAAUGCUCGUGAGGAAAUUCCAGAAGUUCUCUCGCCGCAGUCGCUUUGGAAAUUCUUCAAGAAAUGAUGAUUCCUCGUCUCGUGACUACAAAAACUGAACUUGCCACAAAUGCAAGAAACCUUGUCACUACAUGUCUGAUUGUCCUAUGUGGGAAAAGGAAUCAAAGAAGAAGAAGUACAAAGAUGAUGAUUCUGAUGAUUCAAAGAAGAAGAAGAAAUCUUCAAAGUCUUCAUCUCACAAGAAGAGCAGUUCCAAGAAGGCCCGGGCAUUCAUUGGCUAGGAAAUGGACUCUGAAGCAGAAUCUGAGGAUAAUGCGGAAGAGGAGGAAUCUGAGGAGUCAGACUCUGGUGUGGCGAGCUUAACCCUUGCUAUUGCUUAUGUCAGCAAGUCCAUCUUCAACACUGAAGAAAAUGACCUCCCCAACUCUGCUGACAAGAGUGUCGAUGAUUAUGCUCACACCUACUGCUUAAUGGCAAAAGGUGCCAAGGUACUCAAACAUUCCCCCUCUGACUCUAGUGAGGAUGAAUCUGAUGAAAAUCUCAAGCCUACCUAUUCCAAACUUGCUAAAAUUGUUGUUAAACAACAGAAGGCUUUGGAAAAGAUUCAAAAUCUACUAGACAAAAGCGAUGACCUAUUGGGUGAGGCAUUGAAUCAGACUAAGACUAUGACUGGUAAUCUUCAGAGACUUAAGACUAAGUUUGACAACCUUCAAAAUCAUCAUAACACUCUCUUAAUUGAUCAUGAGAAGCUUUCUUAUGAAUUUCUUCAGAGAAAGCAAGAUCUUGAGAAUUUAAAAGUGAGUUAUGAAGAUCUUCAGAAGGAAAACGAUUCAUUGCUUGCUCAACAGAUCAGUACUGCUCAGGAAGAAUUUAUUCCACCAUGUUUGAAAUGCAUUGAGCGUGAAUCUGCUAAUUCUUCACCUGAAUGUUCAAAUGCUUCUAUUUGCUGCAAAUUCUUUAACUGUCUCUGUGGUCACAAAUUCCUCAUCUCAGGAUACCACAAGUAUCACUGACGAUAAUGCAGGGCUGAAGGAACUGCAUUUACAAAAUCCUCAAAGGGCAUCAGACUCUUUGUGAUGUGCUCAAAAAGCAGAUCUUGAACAGGAACCCUAGGAAAGAGGGUAUUGCCUUUGAGAGGAAACUCAAUGCUGAUGGGACCUACUGGAAACCUGAGCAGUAUCCCAAAACCUCAUGGGUAGCUGUUGUCGGUGUCAAAAGCCGCGGAUCUCGGGUAGGGCGUCUCGAACUGUGCGUCUAAGGUUGAUGGUAACAGGAGGCGGGGGACAUGAUGUUGACCCAGGUUUGGGCCCUCUCUAUGGAGGUGAUACCCUACUUCCUGCUUGAUUGAUCUUGAUGAAUAUGAGUAUUACAAGAGUUGAUCUACCACGAGAUCGUAAUGGCUAAAACCCUAGGAGUCGAGCUUGUAUGAUUAUGAUUGCCUCUAUGAACUAAGACCUCUGGUUUAUAUAGAUACUAGGGGGGACUAGAGUUGUACAAAAUUGGUUACAGAGAAAGGAAUCUUCAUAUUCAGGCGCCAACCUUGCCUUCCAUGCCAAGGAGAGUCCCAUCCGGACACAGGUGAGAGCGUUCAGUCUUGUAUCUUCACAGCCCAUCAAUUCGGCCCAUGUCAACAGGCCAGACGCCGGAGGACCCUUAAUCCAGGACUCCCUCAGUAGCCCUUGAUAACCCACAAGUGUAGGGGAUCGCAAUAGCUUUCGAGGGUGAAGUACAACCCAAAUUUAUUGAUUCGACACAAGGGGAGCCAAAGAAUAUUCUUGAGUAUUAGCAGUUGAGUUGUCAAUUCAACCACACCUGGAUAACUUAGUAUCUGCAGCAAGGUAUUUAGUAGCAAAGUAGUAUGAUAAUAAUGGUAACAUUAGCAAAAGUAAAGAUAAAUGUUUUUGGGUUUUUGUAGCAGUUGUAACAGUAGCAACGGAAAAGUAAAUAAGCGGAGAACAAUAUAUGAAAAGCUCGCAGGCAAUGGAUCAGUGAUGGAUAAUUAUGCCGGAUGCGAUUCCUCAUGUAAUAGCUAUAACAUAGGGUGAUACAGAACUAGCUCCAAUUCAUCAAUGUAAUGUAGGCAUGUAUUCCGUAAAUAGUCAUACAUGCUUAUGGAAAAGAACUUGCAUGACAUCUUUUGACCUACCCUCCCGUGGCAGCGGGGUCCUAGCGGAAACUAAGGGAUAUUAAGGCCUCCUUUUAAUAGAGAACCGGACCAAAGCAUUAACACAUAGUGAAUACAUGAACUCCUCAAACUACGGUCAUCAUCGAGAAGUAUCCCGAUUAUUGUCACUUUGGGGUUGUCAGAUCAUAACACAUAAUAGGUGACUAUAGACUUGCAAGAUAGGAUCAAGAACACACAUAUAUUCAUGAAAACAUAAUAGGUUCAGAUCUGAAAUCAUGGCACUCGAGCCCUAGGGACAAGCAUUAAGCAUAGCAAAUUCAUAGCAACAUCAAUCUUAGAACAUAGUGGAAACUAGGGAUCAAACCCUAACAAAACUAACUUGAUUACAUGGUAAAUCUCAUCCAACCCAUCACCGUCCAGCAAGCCUACGAUGGAAUUACUCACGCACGGUGGUGAGCAUCAUGAAAUUGAUGAUGGAGGAUGGUUGAUGAUGAUGACGGCAGCGAAUCCCCCUCUCCGGAGCCCCGAACGGACUCCAGAUCAGCCCUCCCGAGAGAGAUUAGGGCUUGGCGGCGGCUCCAUGUCGUAAAACACGAUGAAACUUUCUCUCUGAUUUUUUUCUCCAUGAGACGGAAUAUAUGGAGUUGGAGUUGAGGUCGGUGGAGGUCCGGGGGGCCCACGAGAUAGGGGGCGUGCCCUACAGGGGGGGUGCGCCCCCCUGUUUCGUGUACAGGCCCUGGGCCCCCUGGUGUAUUUCUUUCGCCUAGAAAUUCUUAUUAAUUCCAAAAAGUGCCUCCAUGGAUUUUCAGGAAGUUCUGAGAACUUCUCUUUUCUACACAUAAAACAACAUCAUGGCAGUUCUGCUAAAAACAACGUCAGUCCGGGUUAGUUUCAUUCAAAUCAUGCAAGUUAGAGUCCAGAACAAGGGCAAAAGUGUUUGGAAAAGUAGAUACGUUGGAGACGUAUCAACUCCCCCAAGCUUAAACCUUUGCUUGUCCUCAAGCAAUUCAGUUGAUAAACUGAAAGUGAUAAAGAAAAACUUUUACAAACUCUGUUUUCUUUUGUUGUUGUAAACAUGAAAAGCCAGCAUUCAAGUUUCAGCAAAUAUUAUGAACUAACCAUACUCACAAUAACACCUGGGUCUCACAAUUACUCAUAUCAAUAGCAUAAUCAGCUAGCGAGCCAUAAUAAUAAAACUCGGAUGACAACACUUUCUCAAAACAAUCAUAACAUGAUAUAACAAAAUGGUAUCUCGCUAGCCCUUUCCGAGGCCGCAAAACAUAAAUGCAUAGCACCUUUAAAGACCAAGGACUGACUAAACAUUGUAAUUCAUGGUAAAAGAGAUCCAGUCAAGUCAUACCCAAUAUAAACCAAUAGUAAUGAAUCCAGAUGACAGUGUGCUGUCUAGCGGGUGCUUUUUAAUAAGAAGGGUGAUGACUCAACAUAAAAGUAAAUAGAUAGGCCCUUCGCAGAGGGAAGCAGGGAUUUGUAGAGGUGCCAGAGCUUGAUUUGAAAAUAGAGAUUGAAUAACAUUUUGAGCGGCAUACUUCCACUGUCAACGCAACAACUAUGAGAUGGCUGUAUCUUCCAUACUACAUGCAUUAUAGGCAGUUCCCAAAUAGAAUGGUAAAGGUUUAUACUCCCCAACCACCAACAAGCAUCAAUCCAUGGCUUGCUCGAAACAACGAGUUCCUCCAACUAACAACAGCCCUGGGGGAGUUUUGUUUAAUUAUUUUGAUUUGCUUUGAUCUUUUUGGAUCAUGGGACUGGGCAUCCUGGUUACCGGCCCUUUCUCGUGAAUGAGGAGCGGAGUCCACUCCUCGUGAGAAUAACCCACCUAGCAUGGAAGAUAUAGGCAGCCCUAGUUGUAACAUGAGCUGCUCGAGCAUACAAAACAGAAUUUCAUUUGAAGGUUUGGAGUUUGGCACAUACAAAUUUACUUGGAACGGCAGGUAAAUACCGCAUAUAGGAAGGUAUAGUGGACUCAUAUGGAACAACUUUGGGGUUUAUGGAGUUUGGAUGCACAAGCAGUGUUCUCGCUUAGUACAGGUGAAGGCUAGCAAAAGACUGGGAAGCGACCAACUGAGAGAGCGACAACAGUCAUGAACAUGCACUAAAAUUAAUUCACACCGAAUACAAGCAUGAGUAGGAUAUAAUCCACCAUGAACAUAAAUAUCAUGAAGGCUAUGUUGAUUUGUUUCAACUACAUGCGUGAACAUGUGCCAAGUCAAGUCACUGAAUUCAUUCAAAGGAGGAUACCAUCCCAUCAUACCACAUCAUAAUCAUUCUAAUAGCAUGUUGGCGCGCAAGGUAAACCAUUAUAACUCAAAGCUAAUCAUGCAUGGGACAAGCAACUAUAAUCUCUAAAUGUCAUUACAAAUAUGUUUACUCCAUAAUAAGCUGACUCAGAAACGAUGAACUCAUCAUAUUUACAAAAACAAGAGAGGUCGAGUUCAUACUAGUUUUUCUCAUCACAAUAAGUCCAUCAUAUAUCAUCAUUAUUGCCUUUCACUUGCACGACCGAACGAUGUGUAUAAUAAUAAGAGUGCACAUGCAUUGGACUAAGCUGGAAUAUGCAAGCAUUCAACUCAAAAGAUAAGACAAGUAAUAUGGACUCUAAAUUAAAUAAACAAUCAUGCAUAUGAGAGCCACUAAGCAUUUUCAAUAUGGUCUUCUCGACCCCUAAAGGAAAGAAAAGAAAAUAAAACUAUUUACACAGGAAAGCUCCCAACAAGUAAGAAGAAGAACUAGAAACAUUUUUGGGUUUUCAUUUUAAUUUCUACUACAAGCAUGGAAAUUAAACUAACUAUUUUUUUGGUUUUUCUUAAGGUUUAUCAAACACACAAGAAGAAAACUAGAAAAAGGAACUUUAAACUAACAUGGAUAAUACAAUGAAAGAGUAUGAGCACCGACGACUAGUGUGUGAACAUGAAUGUAAAGUCGGUGAGAAAUACGUACUCCCCCAAGCUUAGACUUUUGGCCUAAGUUGGUCUAAUACCAAGGAUCACCUGGCUGAUAUCCAUAGGUGAAACUGGGAUUGUACUGAGAUGCAGCGGCAACGGCCUCCUGAGCUGCAGCGUGUUGGCGAGCUGCCUCCACUCCCCUCUCGUAUUCAGCUGCUUCCUCCCUGGUGACAUCAUAUCUUCCUUUUGCUUGAUAAUCAAAAAGGUAGGGAGCAGGAAGAGUAACAGGGACGAUGUUGCGUCUGUCAUAUAUUAGUCGAUAAUGGAGGAAUUGUUCAUUCCUCUCAAGAAAAUGAUGAUUAAACAUAGCUUCUUUAUCCAAAUAAACAGGGGGUAAAAUAACAUCCCCCUCUCGUGGGGCUAUAUUAAGAUAAUUGGCCACACGGGUUGCAUAAAUUCCUCCUUAAAGCCCGCUUUGACCAUAAAAUCAUCGGAUGGCCACUCACAAGCUCGUACAUCCGCGUUCCUUGGCAAUUCAACAUCUUGCUCACGUAUAGCAAUCCUGGGCCCUUUCUUCACCGAGGAACCACCUUGGUACAUUCUCCUAAGGAUAUUUCUUUUUCUGAAAUAAAUCUGAAAUUUUAGUAACUUCAAAAUAAAAGUGCAUAAAACUAAACAAGAUUGAUAGCAACUACUCCUACAAGUGCCUAGAGCCUAUAUCAUGCAUUGGAAUUGCUUGGGACCUCAAAAAUUUAACAUGCAAGCUCAAGAACAUGGUCACCUAUGCAGCAAAAAUUUGCAAUGAAUAAAGCACUAGAACAAAAACUAAUUGGACCAAUGGAGGAGUCACAUACCAUACAACAAUCUCCCAAAGCAGUUUUGUGAAUGGAGCUUUGAGCUAAGAGAUCGAAAAUUGCAGCAAAAUGAGCUAGAACUCGUGCUUGAGCUGGAUGGGGAUUUUUUUGGGUAGAAGAUGAAGUGCGUGGGUGCUGGCAUAAGUGGAGGGGAGCCACUAGGGGCCCACGAGACAGGGGGGCGUGCCCUAUAAGGGGGGGGGGGCUCCACUCUCGUGGCCUGGUGCUUGCCCCUCCUGCAGUGUUUUUAGUGCCUAAAAUCCUCAAAUAAUUCAUAAAAAAUCAUACUAAAUUUGCAAGACAUUUGGAGCACUAUUAUUUUUGGACUAUUUUUCAUUGCAUGGAAAAUUCAGAAAACAGACGGAUAAUACUAUUUUUGCUUUAUUUAAUCUAAAUAACAGAAAGUAAAAA
rnacentral:lncRNA from 1 species